GACGAACGCUGGCGGCGUGCCUAAUACAUGCAAGUCGAACGCACAGUUUAUACCGUAGCUUGCUACACCAUACACUGUGAGUUGCGAACGGGUGAGUAACGCGUAGGUAACCUGCCUGGUAGCGGGGGAUAACUAUUGGAAACGAUAGCUAAUACCGCAUAAUAUUAAUUAUUGCAUGAUAAUUGAUUGAAAGAUGCAAUUGCAUCACUACCAGAUGGACCUGCGUUGUAUUAGCUAGUAGGUGAGGUAACGGCUCACCUAGGCGACGAUACAUAGCCGACCUGAGAGGGUGAUCGGCCACACUGGGACUGAGACACGGCCCAGACUCCUACGGGAGGCAGCAGUAGGGAAUCUUCGGCAAUGGACGAAAGUCUGACCGAGCAACGCCGCGGGAGUGAAGAAGGUUUUCGGAUCGUAAAGCUCUGUUGUAAGAGAAGAACGGGUGUGAGAGUGGAAAGUUCACACUGUGACGGUAGCUUACCAGAAAGGGACGGCUAACUACGUG
rnacentral:rRNA from 1 species